AUGGCCACAUUGCCUUGAAACACCGAUUAUCAUAUGAUCACUGAUGUUAAGCAAUGUCGAGCCUGGCCAGUACCUGGAUGGAUGACUGCUAGUGAAUACCAGGUGCUGUCAG